rnacentral:rRNA from 1 species
UGCAAGUCGAACGGUAACAGCACUUUGGUGGCUGACGAGUGGCGGACGGGUGAGUAAUACAUCGGAACGUGCCCGAUCGUGGGGGAUAACUACUCGAAAGAGUGGCUAAUACCGCAUACGAUCUACGGAUGAAAGCGGGGGAUCGCAAGACCUCGCGCGGACGGAGCGGCCGAUGGCAGAUUAGGUAGUUGGUGGGAUAAAAGCUUACCAAGCCGACGAUCUGUAGCUGGUCUGAGAGGACGACCAGCCACACUGGGACUGAGACACGGCCCAGACUCCUACGGGAGGCAGCAGUGGGGAAUUUUGGACAAUGGGGGAAACCCUGAUCCAGCCAUGCCGCGUGCAGGAUGAAGGCCUUCGGGUUGUAAACUGCUUUUGUACGGAACGAAAAGACUCUUUCUAAUACAGAGGGUCCAUGACGGUACCGUAAGAAUAAGCACCGGCUAACUACGUGCCAGCAGCCGCGG